rnacentral:rRNA from 1 species
AACGCAGGUGGUUUGGUAAGUCAGGGUGAAAGUCCACAGCUUAACUGUGGCACUGCCUUUGAUACUACCUUUCUUGAGUGCAUGAGGGGGAAGCGGAAUUCCGAGUGUAGAGGUGAAAUUCGUAGAUAUUCGGAGGAACACCGGUGGCGAAGGCGGCUUCCUGGCAUGUAACUGACACUCAUGUUCGAAAGCGUGGGGAGCAAACAGGAUUAGAUACCCUGGUAGUCCACGCCCUAAACUAUGGGCACUAGGUGUGGGAGGUAUCGACCCCUUCCGUGCCGCAGCUAACGCAUUAAGUGCCCCGCCUGGGGAGUACGGCCGCAAGGUUGAA